UAGAACCCCCAAAACUUGCUGCCUGUACAAGAAUUUGAAAAGCAAAAGAUUUCAACAAACAGAAAACCUCAGACGAGGAUAUAGACAUGUUGAAUAUAUUUUUCUGAAAAAGAGAAUUUCCAAAUGUCACCACAAUAUCAUCUCAAAGCACCAUUUUCACACAACAAAUCCAGAUCAGAAUGAACUUAGAAUUACUAAACUAAGGUUAUCAAUCAAAAAAAGUUGGCAGAUGGAUAACACACAGAUCAGAGCAGAAAGCUCCUGAAUCAGGUUUGUACACUAACAAUUAAAUCAACAGACUUUGAGAACAAACCACAAAUAUACCAUGCAACUGGUGA
rnacentral:misc_RNA from 1 species